GCCUACUCGUUUGGAGAGAACAAACUGGGCCAGCUGGGCCAGGGCAACCAAACAGAUGCAGUCCUCAGUCCAGCCCUGAUCCAGUACAAUGGGCAGCCCUUGGUCAAGGUGGCGUGUGGGGCAGAGUUCAGCAUGGUGGUGGACUGCAAAGGAAUCCUCUACUCGUUCGGGUGCCCAGAGUAUGGCCAGCUAGGACACAACUCUGAUGGCAAGUUC